AUCAGCAAGCCGCGGUGAAUACGUUCCCGGGCCUUGUACACACCGCCCGUCACACCAUGAGAGUCGGGAAUGCCCGAAGUCAGCGGCCCAACCGAAAGGAGGGAGCUGCCGAAGGCAGGCCUGGUGACUGGGGUGAAGUCGUAACAAGGUAAC
rnacentral:rRNA from 1 species